GGGUGAGUAACACGUGGGCACCUGCCCUGUAGACGGGGAUAACACCGAGAAAUCGGUGCUAAUACCGGAUAACACGAAAGUCGCAUGACGUUUCGUUGAAAGACGGCGCAAGCUGUCGCUACAGGAUGGGCCCGCGGCCAUUAGCUAGUUGGUGAGGUAACGGCUCACCAAGGCGACGAUGCGUAGCCGACCUGAGAGGUGAUCGGCCACACUGGGACUGAGACACGGCCCAGACUCCUACGGGAGGCAGCAGUAGGAAUCUUCCGCAAUGGACGAAAGUCUGACGGAGCAACGCCGCGUGAGCGAAGAAGGCCUCGGGUCGUAAAGCUCUGUUGUUAGGGAAGAACAAGUAGCGCAGUAACUGGCGUUACCUUACGGUACCUAACGAGAAAGCCACGGCUAACUACGUGCCAGCAGCCGCGGUAAUACGUAGUGGCAAGCGUUGUCCGGAAUUAUUGGGCGUAAAGCGCGCGCAGGCGGUUCCUUAAGUCUAUGUGAAAGCCCACGGCUCAACCGUGGAGGGUCAUUGGAAACUGGGGGACUUGAGUGCAAAGAGGAGAGCGGAAUUCCACGUGUAGCGGUGAAAUGCGUAGAGAUGUGGAGGAACACCGUGGCGAAGGCGGCUCUCUGGUCUGUAACUGACGCUGAGGCGCGAAAGCGUGGGGAGCAACAGGAUUAGAUACCCUGGUAGUCCACGCCGUAAACGAUGAGUGCUAAGUGUUAGAGGGAUCCACCCUUUAGUGCUGUAGCUAACGCAUUAAGCACUCCGCCUGGGGAGUACGCUCGCAGAGUGAAACUCAAAGGAAUUGACGGGGGCCCGCACAAGCGGUGGAGCAUGUGGUUUAAUCGAAGCAACGCGAAGAACCUUACCAGGUCUUGACAUCCCCUGACAACCCGAGAGAUCGGCGUUCCCCCUUCGGGGGGACAGGGUGACAGGUGGUGCAUGGUUGUCGUCAGCUCGUGUGUGAGAUGUUGGGUUAAGUCCCGCAACGAGCGCAACCCUCGACCUUAGUUGCCAGCAUCAGUUGGGCACUCUAAGGUGACUGCCGGCUAAAAGUCGGAGGAAGGUGGGGAUGACGUAAAUCAUCAUGCCCCUUAUGACCUGGGCUACACACGUGCUACAAUGGGCGGUACAAAGGUUGCGAACCCGCGAGGGGGAGCCAAUCCCAAAAAGCCGCUCUCAGUUCGGAUUGCAGGUGCAACUCGCCUGCAUGAAGCCGGAAUCUGCUAGUA
rnacentral:rRNA from 1 species